UACGUAGGGUGCAAGCGUUAAUCGGUAUUACUGGGCGUAAAGCGUGCGCAGGCGGUGAUGUAAGACAGAUGUGAAAUCCCCGGGCUCAACCUGGGAACUGCAUUUGUGACUGCAUCGCUGGAGUGCGGCAGAGGGGGAUGGAAUUCCGCGUGUAGCAGUGAAAUGCGUAGAUAUGCGGAGGAACACCGAUGGCGAAGGCAAUCCCCUGGGCCUGCACUGACGCUCAUGCACGAAAGCGUGGGGAGCAAACAGG
rnacentral:rRNA from 1 species